rnacentral:pre_miRNA from 2 species
GUAUGUGAUGCAGAGCUUGUGCGAUUGGCGCUUGAAAAUGAAGAGCGCCACACGCGAGCUCUUCACCCCAGCC